UGCGCGCUGACGUCACCCCGCGGGCGUCCUUGCCCACCUGGAUUCUGACGCUCGUUUGCGAGAGGUCCAGCGCGUGUGGAGCGCGGCGGGGCUUCCUGAAGUCGGUGUGACACCAGCCGGCAGGGAGCGCGGCUUUGGGCUCCUGUGUCCGGAACAGGGGGCGCCUGGGCCGACGGCGGCGCUGAGACCGCCUGCAGUUGGGGUUGGGUAGCUCCCCAGAGCAAUAUCUCUUGCCAAUGCCUCCUCACCAGCAAUAUUUUCUGAUUGGACCUGGAGGUCAGUGUACAAGAGAGGGUUAGAGGAAGUCCACACUGGUCAGCCUUCUGGGGAACAGAGCAAGACAAAGAAAAACAAACACCAAAAAAAUCCCCCACAAACAUACCUU